UACGGAGGGUGCCAGCGUUGUCCGGGUUUUUUGGGGUUAAAGGGUACGUAGGCGGGCGUCUAAGUCAGUGGGGAAAGCCUACAGCUCAACUGUGGAACUGCCAUUGAUACUGGAUGCCUUGAGUAUAGUAGAGGUGGGCAGAAUUCAUGGUGUAGCGGUGAAAUGCAUAGAUACCAUGAGGAAUACCGAUAGGGAAGCCAGCUCACUGGACUAUUACUGACGCUAAGGUACGAAAGCGUGGGGAGCGAACAGG
rnacentral:misc_RNA from 1 species